rnacentral:rRNA from 1 species
UACGGAGGGUGCGAGCGUUGUCCGGAAUCACUGGGCGUAAAGAGCUCGUAGGCGGUCUGUCGCGUCGGCUGUGAAAACCCGGAGCUCAACUCCGGGCCUGCAGUCGAUACGGGCAGACUGGAGUUCGGCAGGGGAGACUGGAAUUCCUGGUGUAGCGGUGAAAUGCGCAGAUAUCAGGAGGAACACCGGUGGCGAAGGCGGGUCUCUGGGCCGAUACUGACGCUGAGGAGCGAAAGCGUGGGGAGCGAACAGG